rnacentral:rRNA from 1 species
UUUUGUUGGAGAGUUUGAUCCUGGCUCAGGACGAACGCUGGCGGCGUGCUUAACACAUGCAAGUCGAGCGGAAAGGCCCUUCGGGGUACUCGAGCGGCGAACGGGUGAGUAACACGUGAGCAACCUGCCCUAGGCUUUGGGAUAACCCCGGGAAACC